rnacentral:rRNA from 1 species
UACAGAGGGGGCAAGCGUUGUUCGGAAUUACUGGGCGUAAAGGGCGCGUAGGCGGCCUUCUAAGUCGAACGUGAAAUCCCCGGGCUCAACCCGGGAACUGCGUCCGAUACUGGAAGGCUUGAAUCCGGGAGAGGGAUGUGGAAUUCCAGGUGUAGCGGUGAAAUGCGUAGAUAUCUGGAGGAACACCGGUGGCGAAGGCGACAUCCUGGACCGGUAUUGACGCUGAGGGCGCGAAAGCCAGGGGAGCAAACGGG